AACGAACGCUGGCGGCAGGCUUAACACAUGCAAGUCGAGCGCCCCGCAAGGGGAGCGGCAGACGGGUGAGUAACGCGUGGGAACGUGCCCUUUGGUUCGGAACAACUCCGGGAAACUGGAGCUAAUACCGGAUAAGCCCUUCGGGGGAAAGAUUUAUCGCCAAAGGAUCGGCCCGCGUCUGAUUAGCUAGUUGGUGAGGUAAUGGCUCACCAAGGUGACGAUCAGUAGCUGGUCUGAGAGGAUGAUCAGCCACACUGGGACUGAGACACGGCCCAGACUCCUACGGGAGGCAGCAGUGGGGAAUAUUGGACAAUGGGCGCAAGCCUGAUCCAGCCAUGCCGCGUGAGUGAUGAAGGCCUUAGGGUUGUAAAGCUCUUUUGUCCGGGAGGAUAAUGACUGUACCGGAAGAAUAAGCCCCGGCUAACUUCGUGCCAGCCGCCGCCGUAAUAC
rnacentral:rRNA from 1 species